GACGAACGCUGGCGGCGUGCUUAACACAUGCAAGUCGAACGGAAAGGCCCUGCUUUUGUGGGGUGCUCGAGUGGCGAACGGGUGAGUAACACGUGUGUAACCUGCCCUUGACUUUGGGAUAACUUCAGGAAACUGGGGCUAAUACCGGAUAGGAGCUCCUGCUGCACGGUGGGGGUUGGAAAGUUUCGGCGGUUGGGGAUGGACUCGCGGCUUAUCAGCUUGUUGGUGGGGUAGUGGCUUACCAAGGCUUUGACGGGUAGCCGGCCUGAGAGGGUGACCGGCCACAAUGGGCCUAAGGUAGGGCCCAGAAGCCUACGGGAGGCAGCAGUGGGGAGUAUUACGCAAUGGGCGGAAGCGUGAUGCAGCAACGCCGCGUGCGGGAUGACGGGCUUCGGGUUGUAAACCGCUUUCGAUUGUGACGAAGAGUGAGUGACGGUAAUGGGUAAAAAAGCACCGGCUAACUACGUG
rnacentral:rRNA from 1 species